UCCCUCUCAAAGUGGCUGUGAAAUGAUGUUAUUUACAUUGCCAUAUCACAGCCAGCUUUGAUGAGCUAGG
rfam:Anopheles sinensis unplaced genomic scaffold AS2_scf7180000696058, whole genome shotgun sequence.